UUUACCGAGUAUAACAUCUUGAACACAACCCAUCUCGCCUCAGUUUGGAAGCUAAGUAGGAUCAGGACUGGUUAGUGCCUGGAUAAGAGAUCACCUGGGAAUCCCGGGAGCUGGAAACC
rnacentral:rRNA from 1 species